rnacentral:rRNA from 1 species
AACGCUAGCUACAGGCUUAACACAUGCAAGUCGAGGGGAAACGACAUCGAAAGCUUGCUUUUGAUGGGCGUCGACCGGCGCACGGGUGAGUAACGCGUAUCCAACCUGCCCAUCACUUGGGAAUAACCUUGCGAAAGUAAGACUAAUACCCAAUGACAUCCCACGAAGGCAUCCGAAUGGGAUUAAAGAUUUAUCGGUGAUGGAUGGGGAUGCGUCUGAUUAGCUUGUUGGCGGGGUAACGGCCCACCAAGGCAACGAUCAGUAGGGGUUCUGAGAGGAAGGUCCCCCACAUUGGAACUGAGACACGGUCCAAACUCCUACGGGAGGCAGCAGUGAGGAAUAUUGGUCAAUGGGCGAGAGCCUGAACCAGCCAAGUAGCGUGCAGGAAGACGGCCCUAUGGGUUGUAAACUGCUUUUAUAAGGGAAUAAAGUGGGUCACGUGUGACUUUUUGCAUGUACCUUAUGAAUAAGGACCGGCUAAUUCCGUGCCAGCAGCCGCGGUAAUACGGAAGGUCCGGGCGUUAUCCGGAUUUAUUGGGUUUAAAGGGAGCGUAGGCCGGAGAUUAAGCGUGUUGUGAAAUGUAGAGGCUCAACCUCUGCACUGCAGCGCGAACUGGUCUUCUUGAGUACGCACAACGUGGGCGGAAUUCGUGGUGUAGCGGUGAAAUGCUUAGAUAUCACGAAGAACUCCGAUUG